rnacentral:misc_RNA from 1 species
CGAUCGAAGAGCUUUGCUGGCGAUCAAGCUGGAGCUCUCCGACCCCGUGGGCUGGCUGAGCUCGUGGAACAGCACAAGCUCCGAUUUCUGCCAUUGGACCGGCGUGACAUGCACCCGCCGCCGGCACCCUGGCAGAGUGGCGUCGCUGGACAUAUCAUCGAGACAGCUGUCAGGCACCAUCUCUCCGGCGAUCGGCAACCUCACGUUCCUCCGGAAGCUGAACCUUGGAUCCAACAUGCUGGACGGCGAGGUGCCAGGCGCCAUCGGCCGUCUACGUCGCCUGCACUUCCUUUCUCUGUUCAACAACUUGUUAGCACUCCCUAGGAAGGGGAUCAAGAGAACUGGAAGAAGAACUCGUAGAUUGAGAUUUCGGAAGAGGACAGUGCUCGGCUGUGAUGGAGACUUGGAGAAGAAAAGAGGUAGAGACAGAGGAGCACGAAGGCUUCUCGAUAGAGUUCUGAUAUUUCUGCUUUUGAUGUCCUUUACAGAUGGCUCAGCAUGUAUUUAUAUCUCCUUAAGCUCUCAUAACCUAUAGCCUCUCUAGUACACAUGACCAUAGUCCAUCUAGUAUACCUAACAUUCCCCACUCCUUGAAAUGCGGCUUGCCCCCAAGCCGCUGACGGUGUAUGAUCAACUUCUUCGGUUGUUGAUUAGCGUCAUUGUUGAAUGCAUCACGCCUCUGCAGCCCUCCAUCUGAAAUGUGACAGCUCUUGCAACACUAGAACAACACCUGAAGCGAGCAACAUGACAGCGCGAUUACCAGG